rnacentral:rRNA from 1 species
GAUGAACGCUAGCGGCAGGCCUAACACAUGCAAGUCGAGGGAGGAGCUUUCGGGCUUCGACCGGCGUACGGGUGCGUAACGCGUAUACAAUCUGCCUUUCACAUAUGGAUAUCUCGAAGAAAUUUGGAUUAAUACCUAAUGGUAUAUAGAGGUGGCAUCACCUUUAUAUUAAAGCUGAGGCGGUGAAAGAUGAGUCUGCGUUCUAUUAGGUGGUCGGAGAGGUAACGGCUCCCCAAGGCGACGAUAGAUAGGGGUUCUGAGAGGGAUAUCCCACACACUGGGAGUGAGAUUCGGGCCAGACACCUGCGGGAGGCGGCAGUGAGGAAUAUUGGACGGCGGUAGGCAGACUGAUCCAGCCCUGCCGCGUGCAGGAAGACGGCCUUAUGGGUUGUACUCUGCUUUUGCAGGGGAAGCAUAAGGAUUACGCGUAGUUUGAUGACGGUACUCCGCGAAUAAGCCUCGGCUAACCCCGUG